AUACUCACCUGGUGGGGAAAGCACUGUUAUCCCGAAGGGGAUUUUCCUGGAGACUCAGUGCCAUUGGCCUUUGCUGAUACCUGAGACUUCCACAAAAGCGGGGAAGUCGGCUGCAUAACUCGUAGUAUAUUUGGAGCUGCGUUCAGGCUUUCUUCUU
ensembl:snRNA U1 U1 spliceosomal RNA